UACGUAGGGAGCAAGCGUUGUCCGGAAUCAUUGGGCGUAAAGCGCGCGUAGGCGGCUUGAUAAGUCUGCUCUGAAAGCCCGGGGCUCAACCCUGGGAGGCGGGUGGAUACUGUCGAGCUCGAGUCCGGAAGAGGCGAGUGGAAUUCCUGGUGUAGCGGUGAAAUGCGCAGAUAUCAGGAGGAACACCAAUGGCGAAGGCAGCUCGCUGGGACGGUACUGACGCUGAGACGCGAAAGCGUGGGGAGCAAACAGG
rnacentral:rRNA from 1 species